ACGAGCGCCUGCCCAGGACUCUGCUGCACCAGCUCAGAGUGCACAAAGCAGGUGGCAGAGAAGUAAAGCACUGCGGGAGCACGCUAUGGAUAACAGCAGAGAUCGAUUCAGCAAUGCAAGAAGCGAUCUCAAAUGUCUGCCUGCUACCCAUCAACCAGAAAUUGAAUUGCCCGCAAGAACAACCUGCUAUGAGCACAGUAACUCUUACAUCAGAUAUUAAACCAGGACGUAACGCCGAGCCCAGUUUUGGCUGCAGGACCACAGUCGGGUGUGUGAAUGAAAGCUGAAACCAGCUGGUUUUAUAUUCUGCUCAACGUGCAUUGUCCUCAACAGGACGUUCAACAGGUGGGACUGCUGUCCUGCGCUCCUGCUGGGAUGGCACAUCAACUUCUCUUUAUUACUGCAGAAAACUCAAGAGCCCUGUAGAGUGCAAUAAAACGGUACGUGUUUAGCUUCGCAAUGUUUCAAAGGGCUGUGAUUUACUGCUACGAACCAGGCACCUUGCACACAAACAUCUGAGUUCAGUAAUUGCCUCAUGUUUUGUGCAAACUCUACAAGGCAGCGUGAGGUCAGCCCACACACAGAGUACCUGCUGCUCCUCGAUGCCUGUCCCUCAUCCUCAGUAAUACGGACUCUGUUAUUAAAGAGCUGGGAAAGGUUUGUUGUCACCUUUGCAUCAAGAUGUUUUACUUCUCCCAUUCGGUCGCAGGCACUGUUUAUAUUUUCUGCCAAAUCUCUGGGCUGCCAGAUAGAUUAAAAAAAUUGCCAAUGCACCAAAAGGAAAAACACCAAAGUAAAUUCUUCUGUCUUAAAUAUACACCAUACUUACACGCUUCAAGACAAACCCUUCUUAUAUAAGCAUACUUCCAAACACUUCUGGAAAAAAGCAUAUCCACCGAACAUUUGAAGUGUUAUGUAGAAAGCUACCCACAGAUUUAGCAAUGUAAACAUCUCACCACUAAAUACAGCACUUCUCCUUCAGGUAACACAUCCAGCCUUCGCUGAACGAUGAACUCAGUUCUCAGCAGCCAACCCUGAACAAGGGGGUAGGGAAGUAACGCACACAGGCAAGAAAUAAAGAACCUGCAUUACAUGUAUUUCUUCUCAAACUGCUCUGCAUAUAUUAUUUCCAUCAAGCUUGAGUUAAAAAGCAGAAGAGGGACUCAGAAUGCAUACAAUGAAGUCCUUCACCAGCAUCCUUUAUAAACCACACGCACCAACAACUCUUUUUUGGUGAAAAAUAUUCUCAGCAUCUGGCAAAAGAAAAAAAUUGUUUACUGUUGCAAAGAUAACCCCAAAGCCAUUUAUCUUUUAUCUGAAAGUACUGGUCCUUUAUGAAGGAAUGGAAGAUGUGGGUAAAGAAAACAAAAUCAACCCCCCCCAGCUCUCCAGAAGGUGCAGCUCCCUGCAGGAACAGACCCUCAGAGCUGGUAAGUUCCAGCGCUCACACAAAGCAUUGGCAGUGGCGAUCUAUCUUUAUUGAUUUUAUAAAUUACGAAGAAACGAGUAAACAAACAUAACCCAGCACAGUUUAAAUAGAAAGAUCGGUUGAAGAUACCUAAGGACACCGCUAACACAGACGCCUUCUCAACCACUCUUCCUGUACUGAGGACAGGAACAC